CCUACGGGUGGCAGCAGUGAGGAAUAUUGGUCAAUGGACGCAAGUCUGAACCAGCCAUGCCGCGUGCAGGAAGACGGCUCUAUGAGUUGUAAACUGCUUUUGUACGAGGGUAAAUUCCGAUACGUGUUCCGGUUUGAAAGUACCGUAUGAAUAAGGAUCGGCUAACUCCGUGCCAGCAGCCGCGGUAAUACGGAGGAUUCAAGCGUUAUCCGGAUUUAUUGGGUUUAAAGGGUGCGUAGGCGGUUCGAUAAGUUAGCGGUGAAAUUCCGGGGCUCAACCCCGGCACUGCCUUUGAUACUGUCGGGCUAGAGUUUAGUUGCGGUAGGCGGAAUGUGUGGUGUAGCGGUGAAAUGCAUAGAGAUCAUGCAGAACACCGAUUGCGAAGGCAGCUUACCAAACUACAACUGACGUUGAGGCACGAAAGCGUGGGGAGCAAACAGGAUUAGAUACCCGAGUAGUC
rnacentral:rRNA from 1 species